UAGGGAAUCUUCGGCAAUGGGGGGAACCCUGACCGAGCAACGCCGCGUGAGUGAAGAAGGUUUUCGGAUCGUAAAGCUCUGUUGUUAAGGAAGAACGAGUGUGAGAAUGGAAAGUUCAUACUGUGACGGUACUUAACCAGAAAGGGACGGCUAACUACGUGCCAGCAGCCGCGGUAAUACGUAGGUCCCGAGCGUUGUCCGGAUUUAUUGGGCGUAAAGCGAGCGCAGGCGGUUAGAUAAGUCUGAAGUUAAAGGCAGUGGCUCAACCAUUGUAGGCUUUGGAAACUGUUUAACUUGAGUGCAGAAGGGGAGAGUGGAAUUCCAUGUGUAGCGGUGAAAUGCGUAGAUAUAUGGAGGAACACCAGUGGCGAAGGCGACUCUCGGGUCUGUAACUGACGCUGAGGCUCGAAAGCGUGGGUAGCAAACAGG
rnacentral:rRNA from 1 species